rnacentral:sRNA from 1 species
AGGAGCCAUGCGUACACGCCGGUGCUGCGCGCACCAUCCACACCCAGCUGAAGACUGCUCGCUAAUUUCUGUCAGCC